rnacentral:tmRNA from 1 species
GGGGUUGACUGGAUUUGACAGCGGGCAGAAAUGGUAGGUAAGCAUGCAGUGCUUCGUUGAUUGGCACUUAAAUCUCAGUCUUCGAAAAUUUAUCUGGCGAAAACAACUACGCUCUCGCUGCGUGAUUGAAGUAUAGUAGAUCAAAGCUUAAUUCCUGCACAAGGUGCGGGAACGAGACAUCACUCGGAAGCUGUCGCUCCGAAGCAUUCCGGUUCAGUGGUGCAGUUACAUCGGAGAUAGUCGGCGUCGGCCUCGCGGCGUAGAUGAAAUUCUUAGAGGAUAAGGUCGUGGUUGAUGGCUUUGGUUCUGCCCCGACACGAAAAUUUAGGCAAAGAUAAGCAUGUAGAAAGCUUAUGAUUUCCUCGUUUGGACGAGGGUUCGAUUCCCUCCAGCUCCACAG